rnacentral:rRNA from 1 species
CAGAGGGUGCAAGCGUUGUUCGGAAUUAUUGGGCGUAAAGCGCGUGUAGGCGGCUUUGCAAGUCGGGUGUGAAAGCCCUCGGCUCAACCGAGGAAGUGCGCCCGAAACUGCAGAGCUUGAGUACCGGAGAGGAUGGCGGAAUUCCCCAAGUAGAGGUGAAAUUCGUAGAUAUGGGGAGGAACACCGGUGGCGAAGGCGGCCAUCUGGACGGAUACUGACGCUGAGACGCGAAAGCGUGGGUAGCAAACAGGAUUAGAUACCCUGGUAGUCCACGCUGUAAACGAUGAGAACUAGGUGUCGUGGGUGUUGACCCCCGCGGUGCCGUAGCUAACGCAUUAAGUUCUCCGCCUGGGAAGUACGGUCGCAAGACUA